ACGCUGCGUGGAGCCCAGGGCCAGCAUGGAGCUCCUUUCGCUGACGCUGGGCUCCAUGCGGUGCUGCUUCUUUGAAACACUGCAGGGAGCAUGGGGCCAGCAGGCGACUGCUUAAGUCCCUCGCUGGACCGUGCUCCCCGCAGCGCUUUCACCUUUGAAGUGUAACAACAGGCCUGGGGAUGUUGCUACACUUCAAAGGUGGAGGCGCCCUUAUCGACUAACUGAAUAGUCUAUGCAAACUGCAUCGACUAUUCGAUUAGCUGACUAAUCUGAAUUUCACAUCCCUAUCUUGAAGUGCAAUCUUUUAAUCAGUUGUGCACCUAACUUGUAGUAAUUUCCCUAGUUUAUGAGGAUGUCAUGUUGGAUAGUGCCAAAAUCCUUACAAAAGCAAAGCUAUGUCAUAUCUACUGUUUACUCCUUCCAGUUUCCAGGUUUUGAAAUUCUGCCCUGUAUGUUAACCCUUGACUGAUCAAUUACAGAUUUAUAAGUUUCAUAAAGCUGCCUCAUUAGGAGAGUUAGACCAGAUGAGACACUUUUUAGCUUUGACAAAUUUCCUUUUGCUUAGUUAAAUUUAUUUUUUUUUCUGUUAUGGUGCCCGGCUGUCUCAGUGCAUGGGCAUUUCUAAAUUGCAUUUCAUUAUCAUUAACUGUUAUUAAAAUAAAGAGAAUCUUAGAGGGCCACAAGUCACAAACCAUAGAACUGAUCCUGCAAACACCUGUUAUCAAUGGGACCAUUCCCACGGAUUGUCACACUCAUAUCUGUUUGCAUGGUCGAGCCCUGUGUAUUGAUAGCAUAACUGUUCCCAUUUCCAUGACUAAUGAUAAGUUAUAGUAUUCAGCCUGGCAGAAUCAUUUAUUUAUCCCAAUUUAUACCAUGUUCUUACUUGGUGCAUUUCAUUUUGCAGAAUGAAAAUAGAUUAGCCAUCUUCCCUUUUUUUCCUAGUCAAGUUCACUUUCUAACUUUCAUGCAUCAGCAAAAUGCUGCAAUGCUCAGGCUGCAAACAUGUCUUUUCUGAUGUGUUUUUAAAAAGUCACAAAAAUAUUCUAUUAAUAGCGUUUAUAAUUACACAAAUCUUAACUGUGAGGCUUAAGUCACCUCCUGAUGGUGCUCCAUUUAACUGUAUUGAAGGCAUUAAAAUAGUUAGUAGCCCUCUCUGAAGGAGCACACAGCCCACCUGGCCAACUUGCUCAAGAACAGUGAGCGGAUCUAAAGAACAAAGCAGACCUCCUUUUCCCCACCUCUCCUGCGAAAUAUUCUAUAGGCCAAAAGUGGGUUAAGACCCAUUUAUUAAGGCUCAGCCUAUCGUUUUGUCCUGUGUUUCUGCUACUCCGCUUCCUACAAUGUGUUCUUAUGUUUCAAUGCUCUGUCUUUUCAGACAGUACAGAAGAAAGCAAUUAACUCCAUUAGACCCAUAGUAUAAAAAAAGGGAGUGAUUUCUCAGAAAUACUGACUGAAGAAUGCACACAAGGAACAGGAGCAGCAGAGAACAGCAACCGUGUGCUAUGAAAAGCUAAAUACAAAAAGUGCUAGCUGUCCCUAUACCAGAGCACAUUCCUCCAUCUGUCAUCUGGGCCCAUCCACUCCCAACUGUUCUUAAAUUAAACGAAUGCAUCUAAUGGGAGAUUUGCUCCUGAAAGCUUCUGAGAAUUCAUCCAAGACAAAUUAAAACACUGCAAUGUAAUCAUACAAUUCAACUCACUAACAGGUCGCGUGGCUCCCAUUUACCCAGAGAAGAAAAGAACCAUAAGACCCCAGAUGGAGAAAAACAGCUAAAGAGCAAACCUCCCUUCCCUUCACCCCUUCAGUGAUGGAAACAGAUCCAGAUGAGAAGUGUUGCUCCAUCUUUGAAAGGAAAGCUAUCCUUUGUGGAUAAGUCACCCGAUGUGGAUCAGAAAUAUUCAUGGAAUAUUUUCAGCUUAUUCUUAUCAGAAUUCUGUCAGCCCCCAAACUGACAUUUUCUUGUCCUGAUCAUUCCUGAGAUAGUGGAGAAGGAAUUUUUUUAUUAGCCUGAUGCAAACAGCAGAUCUUCCUACAGAGAAACGUCAAGGACAGUUUGGAGUCCUAAUCCCUGACCUGCUUGCCCUCUCCUAACUAGCUAUUGACAUUGAACUUACAAAGCUGCAAUGCCAAGAUGAGAUAAUGAAUUCUCUUUGCUUUGAGUGAG